GGAUGUAGCUCAGUGGUAAAGUGCUUGCCUGGCAUGUGUGAGGCACUGGGUUCAAUCCCCAGCACCA
rnacentral:tRNA from 1 species